AACGCGUCUGUGUGCUGCAACGCCACCUCGAUUUUCGCCGUGUCACGACGAGGGAAUCCCACGGCUGCAAAGACUGAAUUCAGCUGGUCUAAGUUAAGUCCUUCUGUUGUUCGACGGAGAAGAAAGCCUCUGGAUUCGAGAUCUUCGUCGCUGAUUGAGUAACUUGGUGGCUUUCGUUGCAUUGCAGCUGGAAACGUCGCUUGUGAUGAUGAUUGUGUGACUGCGUUUUGUGGGUUUAAUGUGGACCUUAACCGGAGAGAAGCUGGAGGAGUGGAGAUUGUGCCUCCGAGAAACAUGGAAUGGAACGUGCACAUGCUAUUGUUGACAGAAAUGCUGGUUCUUCGCCUUUACUCGCUGAACUCGUCUGGUCCUUCAAUCUUCGUGAAGGUUGGGACGGCCCAUCUUUCGUUUUCUGUCUAUCUGUUUAUUGCUCCUACGUGCAUUAUGAUGGAUUGGAGAUUACAAAAGUCGAAAGCGACCUGAGAAUAACAUCAACGAUCAAAACCUGAUCUUGUUAUAUCAAAGGGUUGAUAAAGCUAUCGGUUCAAUUGCGCUUAUCAGGAUAUGCUCUGUUUUGUGUUAGAAGGAAGUCUCUGAAGAACAAGGUACAUAUUAUAUAACAGGGUUCCAACGGAGAACCGUGCAGAUAACUUAUUUGGGACAGCUUCUACAAAAAAACAUAUUCCGGCAAAAGAAAACAAUGCAACUACCUACACAUGGCUUAUUAAAGGCAAACAACACGAUUGGUGAGACCCCUGAAACGUCUCUCUUCACUACAGGAUUUGGAUUCUUUGUGAACCCCCAUAUCUUCUUCUCUCAUUCGCCAUGAGUUUUAUUUGGUUUUGCUCACCUUCCCUCUACUCUGGACACGACUAGCUGCACUUGUUCUUGUUCUAGCUUUGAGGUCUGAUUUUUCUCCUUCGUUGCUGAUUGUUUUCUCUGUGUGUUGGCGUUUUUGAAGGUAGACUUGUUUAGAACCAUUCUUCCUAGCUGCAUGUUUGUUGAUGUGCUUUGGAAGCUGAUUGCUAGGCCCCGAGGAUGCAUCAGAAGCCAUGGAAUCAUCACUCUCUUCAUCACCACCAUCAUCACUAGUAUCGCCAUCAUCGUUCUCAUAACCAUCAUCAGCCUCUUUAACCUGUGUAUCAUCAUCAUCAUCAUCGACAACAACAGAUGAUUGGUCAUUUCCAUGGAAGGCGUCUUCUAUGUACAUAGUCCACCCUGACUCACAACUGCUGUAUUCCUCCUCUUCAGAGCCUCCAUGGUUUCUCGGAGACUCCAUGGCUUCACGCAACAGAAAGAGGAAAACAAAACCAAGGUCUCAAAAUUAGCUUAUAUGCACAGACACAAAAAGAUCACUUACUUCUUCUAGUUACGUACCUUAUGUGAUCCAAUCCACUUCACCAAUUUACUCUCUGAUAUAGGGUCUGUGUCUCUGUCUCUCAUUUGCUUUGCUCUUCUUCCAUCAUCAAUAAAUAUAAAUUUCUUUUUGUGUUUUUUGAAGUAUCAAGAAAAGCCGGAGCCUAUAGGAAGCCUCAUAUAAUUGAAGAGAAGGAGUAAGUUUCACCACAUGGCAACCCUAGCACCAUUGUUUUCACUCAAUUGAAGCACUACCAGACAAAGCUCAUUGCAGAUAUAUAUCAAGGGAAGGAAGGUUAGUGCCUCCCUUCAUUAUAAAGUACACUCUCUUAUAGAAUUAAAAGCCUAUGCUCUUCUUUUUCAAUAUCAACUAACUAUACUUUUCUUUAAACAAAUAUUUUGGUUCCUAACAAACCAUAAUCUAGUCUUAGAGUCAGGACACAUCAAUAUCCACAGAACAAGAAUCAUCCUUGUAAGCUCUGUCAUUAGUUAUAUGACUUCUUAAUUGAUAUGUGAAGUUAUAAGUUAUCUCUAUCUCUCUCUCUCUUCUCUUCUCUCUAUGUAUGACUCUGGCUAUCUUAAAUAGAAAAGAUCAGCUUUUGAGGUGGAAAUCAGAAGAGACCCACAUGAACAAACAAGAAGGAAUAAAAGAAGCAUUUACUUAAUUAGGUUAAGAGCUGUUCCUCUUUCUCAUUCCUUUAAUACUCUUCUUCAUCCUCCAAUCCUCUCUCAUUGUCUUUAAAAUUGUUGCAGCCUUUUACUUCAUCUCUCAUUGUAUUGAAAAGGUUUACACAACUGGAUUUUGUUUGUCAUUUUUGUUUUAAAAGAUAAGGACAAAACAAAAAGAAGUAAACAACUGUCACAAACCCCAAAAUAAAAGUAAAAGACAGAAUUUGCAAAUUACAAGAAUAAAUUGUCUUCAUUGCGUUUCCUGUUUCUCUGGCGUCACCUUAAAAUGUUCUUUCAGUGGAGGCCCUCUUGGUGACAGCUUGCAAAUCAAGUGUGUGAUGAGAGUUCAUUUUACAAAAGGGUUGUUUUGUUUUGACUUUGACUCUUGUUUGAAUAUUGUGUAAACAAAGAUAUUAAGACAUUAUACAUUAGUUUGACUCUACUUUUAAUAAUGUAUCAGCUUUGUGUGCUUUUAAGACAUUUUCGAGUCUCAUAGAAUUUGAAAGUGGGCGUGUAGAAUUUGGAGAGAUGUGUACAAAUCGUUAAUAGCUAAAAAGAAUGGAGUUGGACUCGUUGGAUUUACUCGUGUGUCUCUUUCUACAAUUGCCCUAUGUGUGUGUGUGUGACUGUGGAAUGUCACUGUACGUCACUGUUAAGUAUCACCGAUUCAUUUAUUUAUUUUGAAGUUUAAUUUGACAAGUCACAGAUUCGAAAGCAUCAUCGGGACAAUGGCU
rnacentral:lncRNA from 1 species